GUAUAGAUCACAGGGGAACUUUGAAAUGCUCGAUUAAGUAUUGAAGUAGCCAUCACACAGUCCGUAACCCCUGACUGUUACAGAAGCCCCAUGCAGGCAGGUACCGCUCGGGCUGCAGCAUCCCCUGAUGUCCAGUACCCGGCAGGAGCGCGAGUCACCGCGCGGCGAGGGACCGGGCACAGCGGCCCGCUCCCGGAACGGGGCCAGCGCCGCGCAAUCCCGCCGGCUGCGGGCUCAGGUGGUGCAGCUUCCCGGCAAGGCUUGUGCCCUGCAGCGUGGGUGGCCCUGGCUCCGCAGGGCUGUGACCCGCGGCGCACGGACCUGCGUGGGGUGACGGCCCCACGGGGACGCUCCAGGGCGGCGAUAUCCCCCGGGGCUGUCGGAGGGUGAAGAACAAAGGAGCAACGCGAGGAUAUGCUCAUUGCGGCGCGUUCCGACUGUCCCUGACCGGGUCUGAAACAAAACCGGGCGGGUAAAUACCCGACAGUGAAACGCUUUGUGCGCCGGGAGCUCGUAAGAUGAAAUGAGACUUUCUGCUGCGGUUGUUUGUCAGGCUAAAAUAAUAAUUGCAUCGAAAUUCA